GUGCCUAUGGUGUAAUGGUUAGCACUAGAGCUUGUGGAGCUCUUAGUCAGGGUUCGAAUCCCUGUAGGCACCCCA
rnacentral:tRNA from 11 species